rnacentral:rRNA from 1 species
UNUAAGUGGGUGGUAAACUCCAUCUAAGGCUAAAUAUGACCACGAGACCGAUAGCGAACAAGUACCGUGAGGGAAAAUUGAAAAGAACUUUGAAGAGAGAGUUCAAGAGUACGUGAAACCGUUCAGGGGUAAACCUGAGAAACCCAAAAGAUCGAAUGGGGAGAUUCAGCGUCAGCGGUGCUGGUACGUGUUUGGUUCGCGAUGCCAUCGGACUUCGGUUCGUUCGUCACGCGUCCUUUCACGAUUUUGCCUGGUAUCGUCGGCGUGCACUUCUCCCCUAGUAGGACGUCGCGACCCGUUGGGUGUCGGUCUACGGCCCGGGUGGGAGCCUCUCUCGUGUGCGCCUCGCGGUGUCACUGCGGGGGAGACCCCCGGUUGCCUGACCGGCUGCUCGGCGGUACUCGCAAGGUAUCUGGCCGCAAAAAUUUGAACUGCGUCCAGCCCGUCGCAAGCGAGGCAAGUGUUUCCCGAAUGUACGGAUCUGAUGCCGUCGUCGGGCCUAGCCAGCUGUUGGUUGACGGUGUCCUAGGACAGGCUAUAACAAUUAUGAUACCGGUCAGCGACGCUACUGCUUUGGGUACUUUCAGGACCCGU